AGUGGCGGACGGGUGAGUAACGCGUGAGAAUCUGCCUUGGGGUCGGGGACAACCACUGGAAACGGUAGCUAAUACCGGAUACGCCUUCGGGUAAAAGAUUUAUUGCCCUAAGAGGAGCUCGCGUCUGAUUAGCUAGUUGGUGAGGUAAGAGCUCACCAAGGCAGCGAUCAGUAGCUGGUCUGAGAGGACGAUCAGCCACACUGGGACUGAGACACGGCCCAGACUCCUACGGGAGGCAGCAGUGGGGAAUUUUCCGCAAUGGGCGAAAGCCUGACGGAGCAAGACCGCGUGAGGGAGGAAGGCUCUUGGGUUGUAAACCUCUUUUCUCAGGGAAGAAGCUCUGACGGUACCUGAGGAAUCAGCCUCGGCUAACUCCGUGCCAGCAGCCGCGGUAAUACGGAGGAGGCAAGCGUUAUCCGGAAUUAUUGGGCGUAAAGCGUCCGCAGGUGGCGAUUCAAGUCUGCUGUCAAAGCACGGGGCUUAACUCCGUAAAGGCAGUGGAAACUGAAUAGCUAGAGUGCCGUAGGGGUAGAGGGAAUUCCCGGUGUAGCGGUGAAAUGCGUAGAGAUCGGGAAGAACAUCGGUGGCGAAAGCGCUCUACUGGACGGCAACUGACACUCAGGGACGAAAGCUAGGGGAGCGAAUGGGAUUAGAUACCCC
rnacentral:rRNA from 1 species